AAUGCCUGGAGUCUAGAGAAGACAGACACACUUGGUACCUCUGAGGCCCGCAAGGAGCUCUCGGUCCCCUCAGUGGUACCAAGAGCAUCCCUGGUACCAUGGACGGUGGUAAUGGUGACAACAGCCCAGGGCAACAAGAAAAGGUCCACUUAUGCUCAGUUAUCUUUGGUUUAUGGAAACGAGGGGUGAGGAAGGGGAAAGGCAUUCAAGGAGGUUUGCUCGGGGACGGGGCCCAAACUGGCCAGUCUAGCCCCAGACCGUUACCCGCUGUUUGCUUUUGUGUACGACUUCCCCUUAUUGGGAUUAAAGAGGGCAUCAAAAUAUUUUGGGGAGUUCCCGUCGUGGCGCAGUGGUUAACGAAUCCGACUAGGAACCAUGAGGUUGCGGAUUCGAUCCCUGGCCUUGCUCAGUGGGUUAAGGAUCUGGGGUUGCCGUGAGCUGUGGCGUAGGUUGCAGACACGGCUCAGAUCCCGCGUUGCUGUGGCUCUGGCGUAGGCCGGUGGCUACAGCUCCGAUUGGACCCCUAGCCUGGGAACCUCCAUGUGCCACGGGAGCGGCCCAAAGAAAUAGCCAAAAAAAAAAAAAAAAAAAAAAAAAAUUUUGGCAGGCCUUUCCUGAAUGAGCGUGUGUGGGUUUCUGCCCUCAAGGCCGAGAUAAGCUGUAGGUGGCCCGGGCACCUGCAGGGCUGGGUGGCAGUGGGAAGGUGGAUUCUGGCUCAUUCCCCACCCCCACCCCCACCGUGCUGGGUCCUUUCUGCACACACACUGGCAAUGUGCCUGCACUCCGGUCCAGACGCUGGGGUUUGGAUCUGGCUGGAGGAGUUGAGGAGAGCAGAGGUGAAGGUCACUGUGUGGGGGGAUGUGAGAUUGAAUCCAGGGUCUCUAAGAAGCAGGGACUUGUAAAAAUCUCAUCACCAAUUUGUGCUUCUGUUUCCUCUUCUGUCGCGUGUGGAUCGGUAGGGAUAAAUAGCACCCCGCUCCCCGCCAGCCCAGGGUGGUUGUACAGUUAAAUGAGAUAAUACAGCAUAGGAAGCCCUCAGCGUGCUGCUGGGCACCUGUAACGGCUUGAUAAAUGUUAACCAGGGGCACCUGUGCCUUUCUUUGUGGAAGGGGCUUCGGGUGGGUGGUGAAGCAGCCUGGAGUUCCCAUUGUGGCUCAGCAGGCGAAAGACCUGAUGUUGUCUCUGUGAGGAUGUGAGUUUGAUCCCUGGCCUUGCUCGGUGGAUUAAGGAUCCAGCAUUACCCGAAGCUGAAGCAUAGGUUGCAAAUGCAGCCCAGAUCCAGUGUGGCUGUGGCUGUGGCUGUGGUGUAGGUCAAAGCUGCAGCUCCGAUUCAGCCCCUAGCCUGGGAACUUCCAUAUGCCACAGGUGCAGCCUUAAAAAGAAAAAAUUUUUUAAAAAGCAGCAGGAGGAGGUGAGGGUUGAAGCCCCCUCCCAUGAUCCAGACCUCUCUGUGGUGCUACCACCCAGGUUCUGGCAUCAGCACUACUGCUAUUGCCAUUGUUGUUGUUGACCGCCCACCAUGGGGCUGGAAGGGCCCCCCCCUGCCCUCUGACUUGAUCCCUCUCCUCAGAGGCCACAGUUUGUGGAUGGGGCUGGAGGCACGUCCUUCCUCGUGCCGGUGGGGCAGUUCCAUGGAGAGUCACGUCGUGCCGGGUGGGUCCCCAGUGUGGCACGCCUGCUGGGGCAGGAGGUCCCCAGCUGGGCAAGGGUUCCCAUCCUCCUCUGGCCUCGGGAGCCAGCUCCUGGAAGGUGUUUCCAGGCCAGCUUCUCGUUUGGGGGUCAGGGACCUUCUUCUCUCCCCUCCCAGGAACCAUGCAGGGUGCCUUGCCGACCUCUGUCUGGAAUCGGCCUGGAGCCUCGUCUUGGGGCCACACAUGUCAUGCUUCAUACUUGCUUUUAGAGAAGUCCCCACGGAGACCAGCAGGCAGGUCUGGGCCCCAGAGAGCUGGCUCCCCAGAAAGGUAGCACAAGGCAAAAACAAGCUGCAUGGCACCAGCAUUAGGGGUGAGGUCAGGGGCUAUUUCGGGGGGCCUCGGUCACCCCACUCCCUGCCUGCUCUGCCACGCGUAAAGUCUGGGAAAGCACAGAGUUUGCAGCAUCAGCCCUGAAGGGGAUGCUGAUGUUCCCUCUGGGUCCACUUUCCGCAGCCCAGAUCCAGGUGUUGAGGGGACAGGACUGCAGCUCACGUCAGAAACAAAAGCAGAGGGGCGGUCUCUCCUCUUGGUCUGGCAACACCAGGGCCCCUGCACUGGCCCCUCAUCAGUCCCUGAGAGCAAGGGACAAAGGCAUCCCCUCCCUGGUCCCCGUCUCCCAUGGGAAAGCAGCACCCCCACGGGCUAGGACCCCACUUGCAGAAUGACCCCCUUUGCAGAAGGAUCCCCUUACAGAAGCAGCCCUCUUUGCAAAACGGACCUCCCUUUGCAGAAGGAUGCCCUCCCUUUGCAGAAGGAUGCUACCUGCCCCCCCUUUGCAGAAGGACACAAUGCAAACUUCUGAGCCUCCAGCACCCCUGCCAUGCAGUUACUUCGAGGGCCCCCAAGGACCAGACGUUUGCUCUGAACUCACAUGGGUCAGAGCAGCGUCCAGCAGGACCCAGCCAAGCUGGUGGCCCAGGAUGAAGGCCCCCAGUCUUAGCCAGGGCUCCCCAGUUCUCUUUAAUUUCUCUUUAAUGAGAGCAAUUUGGCAACAGCAUAAAAUAUGCUCUUACCCUUUGUUCCAGUAAUUCCCUUUCUGGGAAUCUGGCCUAAGGAAAUAAUCCUAAACAUGGGGUGGGAAAACAUGUUUCACAAGGAUGUCCAUUGUGCAGUUGUUUAUAGCAGCAUAAAGUGAAGCCACCACACUGUCUGCGGAGGGGGCGGUGGGCGUGGUGGUGAAAGAGGUGGUGGUCAGAUGUUUAAUAGGCACUAAAACGGUAAUUCUGAAGAUUGAUCUUCAGAAUAGGGGGUGUGCACACGAUGUCACAUUAUGUGAAAAAAAGGCAAGUCCCAGAUCUAUAUAUACCUGCCAAAAAAUGAGGUAUGGAAAAUCAUCAGGAAGUGCCUUGAGAGGUCUUGUAUGAUUUCGUCUGAAAGGUUACGUUCUGUUCACCAUCUUCCCAGUCCGCUGGGACAUUCGUGCGUGGCCUUUCUUAGGGUUGAGCCGUGCUUUACAUUCAGAAAAGUGGACCCUUCUUAGCGGGCAGCGCUGUGAAUUUUGACCUGUGAACAAUCAAGUAACUGCCACCACAUUCAGGACGUCGACUCUUUGCAUCACCCCAAAAAGUUCCCCCACGCCCCUUCCCCAUGCCCCUCGGUAACCAUUCCCUUCCCCCGCCCCACGCCCACGCCCUGAUCUGAUUGCAGUCCCUAUAGUUCUUGCUUCUUCCAGGAUGUCAUGCAAACAGAACCACCCAGUACAUCUUGUACUGCGUUUACGCGUAGAAAUAACUUUUUCAUCUACUUAAUGUUCUCUUAAAUGUACCUCUUAGGGCUGGAUUUCCUAGCUUCCCUCAAGUGGAGACUUUAAUUUUUCCUUUCUAUCCAACUCAGCCUUUACCCCAUGCAGGAAUCUCCUCCGCUGUAGCCCUGAUCGUUGUGCUCAGAUUACCGGGGAAUUAUCAGUUAUCUGUAAAAUCGUCCCAGCGGUGUGAAAGUACCCAGGAUGGAGGACGUCCUCGGCAGCAUCAGCUCACCCCCCUGCAUCCAAAGAGCGGCCGAGGGCGCCUGCAGUCCCCCGAUCUGUCCAUUUCCCUUGCAAGCCUCAGGGGCGCCUGUCCAGGCUGUCCAUCGUGGUGAUAAUAGUAACAACAGCAGCCGCAGCUGCAGGUCGUGUUUCUUAAUAAACAUUUUAUGUUAGAACAGUUCGAGACGGAAAGAAAAAUUGCAGAGACGGUAUCGCUUGCAUUCACCCCACACGCUCUCUCCGCCGUGGCUAACAUCUGACGGUGGCAUGAUAAAUCUGUCACCGCUCCUGAGCCAUACUGAUAUAUGCGUUAUGAAAGUCCACGCUUUAUUUGAUUUCCUUAGUUUCGCCCCGAUGUCCUUUGUCUAUCCCAGGCUCUCCCAUGCGCUCCCAGUGCAUUUAGUUAUCAUGUCUCUGUUGACUUCUCUCGGUGGGGACAGAUGCUUCAGCCUUUCCUUGUUUUUCGAGAGUGCUGGUCGGUUAUUUUGAGGGCUGCCCCUCAAUUGGGGUUUGCCUGAUGUUUUUCUCAUGGUUAGACUAGAAUUAGGACUUGAGGUGAGGAAGCUCCCAGAGAUAAAAGGGUUAGUGUUUCUCACAAUAGUUCGUUUUAUUGAGCUUUUCAGUUUGUUCCAGAUGCUGUACUAAGCCCUUGACAUAUUGGAUCCUCUUUAAGGCUCCUGAUGCUCAUUAAAUUCUCAGUGGAUCAUUGGAGGAAAUGGGCUCAGAGAGGGGCAGUCGCUCUCAUAAAGACACACAGUAAGCGGCUCAAACACAGGUCUCAUUGAUUCUCCAAUUUUUGCUUUCAGCCAGGACUGCGUCAAACAGCAGUGCAUCUGCUUUUUUAAAAAAGUGUGUAUUUAUACCCAGCCUGUCCCCCAAAAGCUGGUAGUGCACCUUCUCAUCAAGGCCACUUUGAGACAGUGACAGCAGGGUCAGGAGACAGGCAGGCACGGUAUUUAGCAGGCCUUCUGUCAUGGUACGUCGCACAUGUCACCUGGAGCCCCCGUGUUCCCAUCGGCUUGCUGGUGAGCGCUGGGCAGCACAGGGCUUGCUGCGUCUCCAUCUCCAGGAGGCUGUGAUGGGGAAAUAGAAGCCUCCAGGCUUUCCGCUUGUGUGUUCAAGGUUCUAAAGGCAUGAGGCAGGCCGGCCGCUUGGUUUGGAUAAAUCACAUCCGCCUUGUGGUGGUCACGCUCAGUACCCUUGUGGGGUUUUUGGAUGCGGGUCCGUAUCUAUUAUUAGGUCCAACGAUUUUGUGGAUGCCACAGUCGCUGUGUUCUAGCCCGUGUUCUCUGGCUUCUUGGUGUAUCAAGGGGUCCGAGGGCUGGGCUGGGAAGCCAGCCAGACCUUGGAAAGGGAUGUGGGCUGCCAAGGAUAGGUGUUCAGCGCAUCUGGGCACCCCGGUGCCAGUGCCCUAAAGGAGAUUUUUUUUAACUUAUUAUUUUUAAUUUUUAAAUUUAAUAUUUAAAACUAAUAACCAAAACCUCUUCCCAAUAUGCCUAGUGAUGAUAAGUAAUACAUGGCUGGGCAUUUUUUUAUUUUGUUAA
rnacentral:lncRNA from 1 species